rnacentral:rRNA from 1 species
ACUCCUACGGGAGGCAGCAGUGGGGAAUUUUCCGCAAUGGGCGAAAGCCUGACGGAGCAACGCCGCGUGAGGGAUGAAGGCCUCUGGGCUGUAAACCCCUUUUCUCAAGGAAGAAGAUCUGACGGUACUUGAGGAAUAAGCCACGGCUAAUUCCGUGCCAGCAGCCGCGGUAAUAC